rnacentral:rRNA from 1 species
GACGAACGCUGGCGGCGUGCCUAAUACAUGCAAGUUGAGCGCUGAAGGUUGGUACUUGUACCGAAUGGAUGAGCAGCGAACGGGUGAGUAACGCGUGGGGAAUCUGCCUUUGAGCGGGGGACAACGUUUGGAAACGAAUGCUAAUACCGAAUAAAAACUUUAAACACAAGAUUUAAGUUUUAAAGAUGCAAUUGCAUCACUCAAAGAUGAUCCCGCGUUGUAUUUGCUAGUUGGUGAGGUAAAGGCUCACCAAGGCGAUGAUAAAUAGCGGACCUGAGAGGUUGAUCGGCCACAUUGGGACUGAGACACGGCCCAAACUCCUACGGGAGGCAGCAGUAGGGAAGCUUCGGCAAUGGACGAAAGUCUGACCGAGCAACGCCGCGUGAGUGAAGAAGGUUUUCGGAUCGUAAAACUCUGUUGGUAGAGAAGAACGUUGGUGAGAGUGGAAAGCUCAUCAAGUGACGGUAACUACCCAGAAAGGGACGGCUAACUACGUGCCAGCAGCCGCGGUAA